UACGUAGGGGGGCGAGCGUUGUCCGGAUUCAUUGGGCGUAAAGAGCUCGUAGGCGGCUUGGCAAGUCGGAUGUGAAAACUCCAGGCUCAACCUGGAGCCGCCAUUCGAUACUGCUAUGGCUAGAGUCCGGUAGGGGAGUGUGGAAUUCCCGGUGUAGCGGUGAAAUGCGCAGAUAUCAGGAAGAACACCAAUGGCGAAGGCAGCUCUCUGGGGACGGUACUGACGCUGAGACGCGAAAAGCGUGGGGGAGCGAACAGG
rnacentral:rRNA from 1 species